AAUUGACGCUGGCGGCCGGCUUAACACAUGCAAGUCGAGCGGAGCGAAGUGCUUGCACCUUAGCUUAGCGGCGCAGGUGAGUAAUGCUUAGGAAUCUGCCUAUUAGUUGGGGGGACAACGUUUCGAAAGGAACGCUAAUACCGCAUACGUCCUACGGGAGAAAGCAGGGAUCUUCGGACCUUGUGCUAAUAGAUGAGCCUAAGUCGGAUUAGCUAGUUGGUGGGGUAAAGCCUACCAAGGGCGACGAUCUGUACGGGUCUGAAGGAUGAUCCGCCACACUGGGACUGAGACACGGCCAGACUCCUACGGGAGGCAGCAGUGGGGAAUAUUGGACAAUGGGCGAAAGCCUGAUCCAGCCAUGCCGCGUGUGUGAAGAAGGCCUUUUGGUUGUAAAGCACUUUAAGCGAGGAGGAGGCUUCUUUGGUUUAAUACCCAAAGUAAGUGGACGUUACUCGCAGAAUAAGCACCGGCUAACUCUGUGCCAGCAGCCGCGGUAAUACAGAGGGUGCAAAGCGUUAAUCGGAUUUACUGGGCGUA
rnacentral:rRNA from 1 species